GACGAACGCUGGCGGCGUGCUUAACACAUGCAAGUCGAACGGAAAGGCCCCUUCGGGGGUACUCGAGUGGCGAACAGGUGAGUAACACGUGAGUAACCUGCCCUUGACUUCGGGAUAACUUCAGGAAACUGGGGCUAAUACCGGAUAGGAAUCCUUGCUGCAUGGUGGGGGUUGGAAAGCUUCGGCGGUUUUGGAUGGACUCGCGGCUUAUCAGCUUGUUGGUGGGGUAGUGGCUUACCAAGGCUUUGACGGGUAGCCGGCCUGAGGGGGCGACCGGCCACAUUGGGACUGAGGUACGGCCCAGACUCCGACGGGAGGCAGCAGUGGGGAAGAUUGCACAAUGGGCGGAAGCCUGAUGCAGCAACGCCGCGUGCGGGAUGACGGCCUUCGGGUUGUAAACCGCUUUCAGCAGGGGCGAAGCUUGUGGUGACGGUACCUGCAGAAGAAGCACCGGCUAACUACGUG
rnacentral:rRNA from 1 species